rnacentral:rRNA from 1 species
UACGUAGGGCGCAAGCGUUGUCCGGAAUUAUUGGGCGUAAAGAGCUCGUAGGCGGUCUGUCGCGUCGGCUGUGAAAACCCGGAGCUCAACUCCGGGCCUGCAGUCGAUACGGGCAGACUAGAGUGCGGUAGGGGAGACUGGAAUUCCUGGUGUAGCGGUGAAAUGCGCAGAUAUCAGGAGGAACACCGAUGGCGAAGGCAGGUCUCUGGGCCACUACUGACGCUGGAGAAGCGGAAAAGCAUGGGGAGCGAACAGG